UGGGGAAUUUUGGACAAUGGGCGAAAGCCUGAUCCAGCAAUGCCGCGUGUGUGAAGAAGGCCUUCGGGUUGUAAAGCACUUUUGUCCGGAAAGAAAUCCUUGGCUCUAAUACAGUCGGGGGAUGACGGUACCGGAAGAAUAAGCACCGGCUAACUACGUGCCAGCAGCCGCGGUAAUACGUAGGGUGCAAGCGUUAAUCGGAAUUACUGGGCGUAAAGCGUGCGCAGGCGGUUUGCUAAGACCGAUGUGAAAUCCCCGGGCUCAACCUGGGAACUGCAUUGGUGACUGGCAGGCUAGAGUAUGGCAGAGGGGGGUAGAAUUCCACGUGUAGCAGUGAAAUGCGUAGAGAUGUGGAGGAAUACCGAUGGCGAAGGCAGUCCCCUGGGCCAAUACUGACGCUCAUGCACGAAAGCGUGGGGGAGCAAACAGGAUUAGAUACCCUGGUAGUCCACGCCCUAAACGAUGUCAACUAGUUGUUGGGGAUUCAUUUCCUUAGUAACAGCUAACGCGUGAAGUUGACCGCCU
rnacentral:rRNA from 1 species